GCACAGGUGGCGCAGUCGGUAGCGCGUCUGACUACCAAUCAGACCGGCCCUCAGGUUCGAACCCACCUGGUGCC
rfam:Caenorhabditis brenneri strain PB2801 C_brenneri-6.0.1_Cont99.3, whole genome shotgun sequence.